AGGAGCCGUAUGAGGUGAAAAUCUCAUGUAAUAUUCUGUAGGAGUGACAAUUUUAUAUCUUAU
rnacentral:sRNA from 1 species